rnacentral:lncRNA from 1 species
AAAAAGGAAAAAGAAUUUUGACACGUAUCAUACAUGCAGCCUUGAAUUAUCGAGAAAAAGAAAGAAAAUGUUUAAAUAUCUUUGUCUCACAUCAGUGCUAAUGGAAUUAAAUGCCGCGACGAUAUUUCCCUUGCAAAUACGAAGAUUAGUCUAUACUUGUCAAGGAUGAAUACUGGAAAUCACUCAUGCAAUUGUGGACAUUCUAUUUGGUUCACGGUGGAAGAGAAAAACCGAGAGAACAAAAAUAGAACAUCAAAGAUAUCUCUGUACUUUUGUAAUCGUUGUAAAAUCUUCAAGAGGAUCUUGGCUAUUCCAAGUAGAAGAAAAGGAAAAUGUAAGGAACGACAGAGUUCGUGAUUCGCACGAAAGAUUCUUCUCCGUGUCUGGAAGAGAAACGUCGACGGCAUAAAGAAUCGAUUCUUCGGAGUCCAGCGACCCUUUAGCUUCGUCCGCAAAUCGAAAACGUCGUUGACCAUUGAAUGCGUCUGGGAUGCAUCUGUAUAUGCAUUGUAUCUGUGUAUAUUGAUGACAUCUACAGGGUGUUCUCAUUCAACAUCCCAAAAAGUUUCUCGAGAUCUUGAACGAAGUCGGGAUGAGCGUAGGUCGUCGCCGAAGAAACGAAAUAAAAAUUCCAUAAGUUUAUAGAGAAGAAGAAGAAGACGACGAUGAGGGGGAAGUAAAGUAGGAGGAGUAGGCGCCGCUGGGUAAUCGACCGAUCGAGUUUGACCGGAGUUGAUCGUCGGACGACCUUGGAAAAUAUCGUCUCUCUCGAAGGUUCAUUUAAAAGCUACAAAGUUCCGACCAUUGAUUUUACUAGACCGAGUUGGAAAGUUUUGAAAGGAAAGCUUACUUUCUUCUACUACCGUGGCAACAUUAACAUUAUUAUGGUACACUUGUGUCACCGGUUAAACGAAUAAGAUAUCAGCAAGAGGAUGAGGAUAUUACAUAAACUUCUCUCUAUCGCAUCCGGAAAUACAAACUGAUAUGUAUCCUGUUCCUCUAUAUGCAUUUCAAGAACUUGUAUGUCAUCAUCUGAUUCCAGAAGAAGAAAACGGAUAGAUAAGAUGCUGUACCAAGAAAAAUAAUCUAAAUGGCUAUCGUACAGACAGAUGUCUUAAACAACGCUAUAUAAUAAUUAUAAGCGAACAGUUUGAUUAAUAAUUACAUCAUCAAUGUAAUAAGAUACUUGAAUCAUCCAGAUUCAAUUAUUCAAGAAGCAUAAAUCAUCGUGAUCGUGAUCAUCAUCUUAUCCACUGAAUAGAAGAUAAAGAAAAAACAACAACAACAACACAUGCAGCUAAUUGUAGAAAAAAGGAGAAACGGAAGGGAUUGUAUUAUUGGUCGACGAGCUUCCGGUUUGAAGCCCUCUCUCUACGCGGAGACCAUUCUAAGCAUUUGCUUGGCCUCCUCCGUUACACCUACGCACGUUAGCCAAUCAGCGUGGGAUCCUGGUCACCGUGAUUGACCAAUAAAAAUUCAUAAAUGGCCUGAGAUUUGGACCAAUCAGAGUCAGUCAAGAAAAAAUCAUCAAGGGUUGAAGGUACAAACGCGUUCUUGCAUAUUUUAUAAAAUAAUUGUGAAAAAAAAUGUUUUCUAUAACUAAAAUACCACAAGUUUACUCUAUAAGUGUUCAAACUAAGAUUAUAUACGUUUCAGAGAAAAAACUAAAGGAAUAUGAAGAAAGAAUAAGAAAAUAAGGUACCGAACAAACGAAUUCGAAGGACGAGAAAGACGUUGGAGGAUUCAGGCGCGAAAUUCAAAAAUCUAGAAGAAAUGUUCUCACAAUGAGAAAAGGUUUGUAUAUGUUUAAAAGAUUAGAAAAAGAUUUAACGUAAGAGGGCUAGAAACAAAGGUGAAUCUGUAAUCUCGAGGUUAAAAUAGUGUUUGAAAUGAGAAGGAGUUGAGACUCGAUGGAAUUGCGUAGUAGCCUGCGUAGGAAGAGGCGUUUCUUGCUCGUUCAACAGGCUAACUUUUCCCUUCCCCCUCUAUUUAUCUCUCUCUCUUUCUUUUUUUCUUUCUUUUUCGUUCUCUUCGUCUUCGUCGCGUCAGCAAACUCGCUAUCCUUCUUACCCGACCUCGCGACUGUAUUUCUAUCUUUCUCUUUCUUUGAAGUUGUUCGUAGCGGACAACCUUCUUCUUCCUUGCUUGCUCGUUCCUCUCCCACUCUUUUCUCUCUUCGUCUCACUCUUUCUCUCUUCCUCUCUCUCUUUCUCUCUGAACUCUUUCAUUCUAGCUUUUAAGGGACUUUAGCGCAUUGCUGUCCUAAAGGAAAACCCUACCUUUUUAUUGUCUUUACAGAUAGAAGAAUAGAAGAAGGAUAAGAAGGUAGAGAUGGGCU